CCAAAAGAAAAUCAAAAGAUUGCCUAAACAGCAACAAGUUAAGAAGUAGACAAAUUGCUAAUAUAUCCAGAGAUAAUCAUAACAAAGUAGAGCAAGACAUGUGAUGGUGAGAAUUAGAUGCAAGACAUACUCAUGGGUAAGCAGCAUGGAUCUUGUCGUCCAUCGCCGAGAACAACCCAUCUGUUCUACGAGACAUAUCAUUUCUGUUCACACGGCUCCAGUAACAUAAAACAAACCUAGCUCGCCUACCUCAAUCGAUGUCUGCUUUUAAGAUUUGGAUCUGUCGUUUUACGUUGUUCUCUGCUGUGCAUCAAGCAAAUGAGUCUCCACCUAUUGAAUUUAAUGCCAGGUCUUAAUCAGAGAGAUUACAUAUAGACAGCUAAUUAAUGAUAAUUACCCAGUAAAGAAAAGGGAUUUUUUAUUUUCGUUAAUGAAAGCUUUAUCAUCCAUACAAGAAAUGAAGUGGAUAUUACUCAGAGAUUGCAUAUAGAAUCAACAUUGUGGAUGCUUGAGACAAUCCUCGUAGGAUUAUGGAAUAGUGGUGGGUGGAACCUGCUUAGCUCAGCAAUGAAGAAUUGAGGAUGAAACUUAAAAAACUGUCUUUUCUCUUCGGUUUUUAUGGAUGGAUGAAUCAUUUCCCAACUUAUAAAUCUUCAUAAUCUUUCAAUGGAAUUACCAGAUUUCCUUGUUCCCUAUAAAAGAGAAAGGGACAGGAUUACAAUCCAAAAAUAAAUAAAUUGUCGUCUAGAAAAAAGUGAGAUAAAAUCUUGUAGAUAAAAUGGUAGGAGCAGUGACGGAUAUAGAAAUUUGUUGAGAAGAGUCUAAUUUAAAUAAAUAAUUAAAAUAAAUAAAAUAUAUUAUUUCCUGUUUCACUAUUUUAUUAAUUUUUUUAAUUAUUGUUUCAUUCUGAAAUUAUUAUCUAUAUUUUUUAUUAUAAUAACACAUAAUUUACCGUUAUAAUUCUAUUUAAUUUUAUAUUAUUUUUAAAUUAAUUUAUUAUUAAUUAUUAUUUUUUAAAUAAGUAUUUAAAAUAUUUUUUAAUACUUAAUAAAAUUUAAUAUUUUUAAAAGGUAUAAUUGAAAAGUCAAUAAAAUAAAUUAUCUCUUUUGGACAAAAAAUUAUAAAAUAGAGAGUAUAAAAUAAAUACAUAUUUAGAAAUUAAAUUUUUAUGAAAAUGAAUAAACUAUUAUAAUUAAAUCAUAUUUCUUUACAUUUGUUUUUCAUUGAUUAAAAUAUAUUCUUAAUAAUAUUAUUAUCGACAUUUAUAAAUAUAUAUUUUAAUAUAAGUUAUCGAUAAAUUAUUUAUGAUUUAUUAUUAUAGAGUCAACUAUAUUUACUGUAGAUGAUUUAUUAUUGAAAUUUAAUUUUGUUUAAAAAGAAUAAUUUAACUCAUUAAAAUUUAUUUUUAUAUAAUUUCAAUCAUAUAAAUAGAUUAAUAACUAAAUAAGAUAAAUAAAAAAAAAUUAUUACUUAAUAAUAAAAAUGGUAUAUAAAAUUAAAUUAAAUAAUGAAUGGAUAAUCUAAGAAAAAAUUUAAAUGAAAAUUUCAACUUAAAAUCUUGAAAAUAAAAAAUAAAUUUUUUAAAUUGAAAAAUAAUGGAGAAAAUAGGGAUUAAAUAGUAAAAAUUCAUUUUGACAAAUUUGAUAUUAUAUUUAUAAUGAUGAUUUAAUUAAAUAAUUUUAAAAUAAGGAUUAACUGAUAAAUAUUUUAAAUAUAUAGAAAUCAAAUGAUAAUUUAAGAAAAAUUAUCUAUAUACUUAGUUAUGUUUGGCUCGUCCUAGAUUGGAGUCCCUUCACCUCUUAAUAAGAAGUUUCAAAUUCAAGGAUCGGAUAUGUUUUAUCUUUAAAACUAAUAGCCUUUUAUUUUUUUAAUGAAUGUGUUCGAAUUAAAUCUGAAUUAAUCAAAAGUUCAGAGUAAAUCUGAAUUAGUCAAAAGUAUUUUAGAAUGAUUUAUAUUUAAUGAAUAAAUUGCCUUAUGCUUUGCCGAGCCAAUUCGUAAACUCCACCCGGUUGUUAGAGAGGGCUAAAUGACCAUUCUUGCUUCAUUUUUUGGCUAAACAUGCUUUUUCUAUUAAUCGUAUUUGUCUCUUUUGAUGUAUAAUAACUAAUUCUCUAUAUAAUUAACUCACUUCACCAUCUUCCUCUCGAUCUCUUUCCCCCUUUUGUCACUCUCUCUUUCUCAGAUGUUGAGAUCCAUGCCAUGCCACUCCAUGUAUGAUUCUCAAUCCCACUCUAAUCACCAUCAAUCAAACCUACCAUCUGUUUGCUCACAGUCAAGUCUCCCGUCAAUUCCUUCACUCUCCUCCUCAUCACAACGCCAUCACCAACACUUCCUCCCCAAUGUCCACCACCGCUGCCUCACCACUCUUAAGGGUCACACCACCUAUGUUUCCUCUCUCACCUUAACUGGAAAGUUCCUCUACAGCGGCUCCUCAGACAAAGAAAUCAGGUCAUGGAAGCGAAACCAUCUAUACUCGGAACUAGAUCAUGAAAUCCUAUGCAACAACGUUGUAGCUGUGGGGAAAGGUGCAGUGAAGUCCCUAGUAGUUUUAGCUGAUAAACUCUUUAGUGCUCAUCAAGAUCACAAAAUCCGGGUAUGGAAAAUCAAUAAUAACCAAGAAACUGAUCAACAAAAGCAUACACAUUUAGCAACACUACCCACACUUGGUGAUCGAGCCUUAAAUAUUUUUUUACCUAAGAACCAGGUUCAGAUUAGGAGGCACAAAACUUGCACAUGGGUUCAUCACGCAGACACAGUCUCUGCACUUGCCUUGUCAAAGGACAAGUCUCUUCUCUAUUCCGUUUCAUGGGAUAGGACACUCAAGAUAUGGAGGACAAAUGACUUCAAGUGUCUGGAGUCAAUAUCAAGGGCACAUGAUGACGCUAUAAACGCAGUGGCAGCUUCAAGUGAUGGGGAUGUUUAUACCGGAUCAGCAGAUAGAAAAAUCAAGGUAUGGAGAAGUUCAGGAGAGAAGAAGCAUUCCUUAGUGGCUACAUUAGAGAAACACAGCUCAGGGAUUAAUGCCCUGGCAUUAAGCAAUGAUGGGUCAAUUCUGUACUCCGGUGCUUGUGACCGAACGAUAGUGAUCUGGGAGAAGGACGUGGGUGGUGGUAGUGGAAUGGUGGCUGUGGGUGCUCUGAGAGGGCAUACACAGUCCGUAUUGUGCUUAGCAGUUGUGUGUGAUUUGGUAUGCAGUGGUUCUGCGGACAAAACCAUAAGAGUUUGGAGAUGUGAUGAUAGGAAUGGGUGCUGUUUGGCAGUGUUGGAAGGGCAUAAAGGACCUGUCAAGUGCUUGACAGCAACAAUUGACCAUCAAAAUCCAUCUAAUACAUCUUACCUUAUUUACAGUGGGAAUUUGGAUUGUGAUAUAAAGGUGUGGCAGCUUAAUGUCCCAACAGAUCUAUAGAAACUUCUUCCAUCUAUGCCAUUAGAAAUGAUCUAAGAAGAGUGUGCAGUUCCCUGUUGUUUAUUUUACUUUUUAAACUUUGUUGCUUUCUUUUUCCUUCUCAAGGUCCUCCAUAGUUGUUGUAAGGUCACUGUGUAAGAUUUGAGACUGAUGAUCCUGGAGGAGACUUCACUCUCUCAAGAAUAACAAAGGAUUUAACAAGGGGAAAAAAAAAAAAAGGCAGGCACAUGAUUUUAGCUUUUAAAUAUGGAUCAAUUGUAAUUUAAUCCCCUUUUGAGACUUACUAAUUACAACAUUGUCAUCCAUAAAGCUACUAAAAAUAAUUAAAAAAAAAAAAAGGUUGUAGGAUAUUCAUAUCUCAAACUAUAGUUGAAUAAAAAAAGUUAAUAUAACUAGUAAUUUCCAAAAAUAUAUCAACUCCCUUUUGUACUCGUUUAAGUGAGAAUUGAGAAGCAUCACAUUUAUUUUAUCCUACAGAAAAAAGGUUACAAGCUUGUAUUAUUAACAUAUAAAGUAAUUGACUUUCUUUAAAUUAACAGUGUUGUAGAUAACCAAUACCUUUAUUCAGUAAUCAACCACUUUUAAACUACAGUUUUGAAAACCAAAUAAAACCACCAGUUCAUAUAGAGUCAAUUUAGACAAAAAUUGCCCACAUUUCAACUAGACAUUUUGUUUAGUCUGCAACAAAUUGUUUGCUAUUUCAUUUGUAGUUGGUAUUAAAAGAUGGUGCCAUGGAAGCUUCCUUUUGGAAAGAUAAGAGGGUCAUUGUACAUUCUCCUCCGUCGUCUACUUUUUGAACAUAAACUUCCAUGGCUCCUUAUGCAUCUUUUUGUUGUUUAUGCAUUUUCUUCCCAUAAAUUAAAUAUGAUGUUACAAUACCAAAAAUAUAUAUAUAGGACCCAAUGUGAUAUGACAGUAGAGUAGGGUCACAAGCUUAUAAUUUAAAAUAUGGAAUAAUAUGGUUUCCAAUAAUUCUUACAUGCUUUCCUAAAAGUGCCAACACAUUUAACAUUAUCACAAGGAUCGUACUAUAAAAAAAUGCAAAUUGUAAAUUUAAAAUGCACACAGCCAGAUCAAUAUAUACUCAGCAACUUCCUCUCAUUCAGCAUAAAGUUCUCUCCAAUGGGAUUUAAGGCAAAAAGUAACCCAUUAAAAUAACAAGACAACAUUAUUUCUUUUAAUAAAAAAAAAUUGUUGGCCAAGCAGAAUUAAUUCUUGUAAAAUUAUGUAUGAUUUUAUCUCCAAUGAAAAAUUUUUAAGUUAAAAAGAAUUAAAUUCUUUUAUUCUAAACAAGAUGAUCAUAAAAAAAAAAAAUUAAAUUGAAUUUUUGUAAAAGUUUUUAUUGCAAAGGAGGGAAUGUGUUCUAUGUGUUAGAGAGAGAUUCACCCAUUCUCAGUCUUUCAGUUUCCUUCCUUAGCUUUGAAACCUAGCUCUAACACCAUCACCCUUUCUCUACCCCUUGGUAAGGACAAGCCACUUUCCUAGACCUUAGUGUGGAUUCACUCCCUAUAGUCUAAUUAGAUUGUAGAUAGUUCAUUUUGAGUUUGUUUUUCUGGUAGUCGAUAGAAGAAUUUCUUUGGAGGACCGCUCUCUUUAUUUGUUUCAUUGUUUGCUGUCUUAAUGCAUUUUACAAGUUCACUUCUUUUGUCGAGAACUAGUAAAAGGAUUGGAUUACUUAAAUGUUACCAGUGAGACGCCAAUGAACCCUCUCACUGCCACCUACAGCCUGGGCUUUAUAAAUCUACUACUCCCUCUCCACGGCUUUCAAGUUCUCUUGGCUUUUGUUGUUUGGGCUCUACCUCAGUUCCAGUUGAUCUCUGGGUUGCUCUAUGUUGUUUUUCCUGCUAAUCUUUUUCCUAAGAGUCACAUGCAUACCUGAGAUCCCACGCUUCAAUACCGGCGUCGAUACUGGCAUGCGACAAACCCUCCGCAGUUGGGCAGCUCAUCAAGUAAAUCUCCAAAGCUAGGGUUUAUUUUGCGCUUAAUCUUUUGUGCUUUGUACUGAAAGGAGCUCAGAUAUAGCUUUUUAUUUGAAAACCCAUGGCCUGUAAUACUUGGAACUUCAACCCUGGAAUGUAUAUUGGGGUUUAGACCUCCUGUUUUCAAUCUAUGAAAUUUUCCUUGGGAAGAAAAUUAAAGGCAAAAAGUAUAUUUUACCUCAUCAUUUCAUGAAUUGUCAUUUUACUAAUCCAGUUUUAAUUUUUUUUAAUCCUAAUUUUAUAAAAAUAAUAUUUAUUAAUCCCUAAAUUCCUAAUAAACAAG
rnacentral:lncRNA from 1 species